rnacentral:rRNA from 1 species
AGAGUUUGAUCCUGGCUCAGGACGAACGCUGGCGGCGUGCCUAACACAUGCAAGUCGAGCGGAGACAGUGAGUAGCUUGCUAUGAGCUGUUUUAGCGGCGGACGGGUGAGUAACGCGUGAGCAACCUUUCCCAGACAGGGGAAUAACACACCGAAAGGUGUACUAAUACCGCAUAAGACCACGGAAUCACAUGGUUCUGGGGUAAAAGAAUUAUCGGUUUGGGGUGGGCUCGCGUCCGAUUAGGUAGUUGGUGAGGUAACGGCCCACCAAGCCGACGAUCGGUAGCCGACCUGAGAGGGUGAUCGGCCACAUUGGGACUGAGACACGGCCCAAACUCCUACGGGAGGCAGCAGUGGGGAAUAUUGCACAAUGGGCGAAAGCCUGAUGCAGCAACGCCGCGUGAGCGAUGAAGGCCUUCGGGUCGUAAAGCUCUGUCCUCAAGGAAGAUAAUGACGGUACUUGAGGAGGAAGCCCCGGCUAACUACGUGCCAGCAGCCGCGGUAAUACGUAGGGGGCAAGCGUUGUCCGGAAUAAUUGGGCGUAAAGGGCGCGUAGGCGGCUCGGUAAGUCUGGAGUGAAAGUCCUGCUUUUAAGGUGGGAAUUGCUUUGGAUACUGUCGGGCUUGAGUGCAGGAGAGGUUAGUGGAAUUCCCAGUGUAGCGGUGAAAUGCGUAGAGAUUGGGAGGAACACCAGUGGCGAAGGCGACUAACUGGACUGUAACUGACGCUGAGGCGCGAAAGUGUGGGGAGCAAACAGGAUUAGAUACCCUGGUAGUCCACACUGUAAACGAUGAAUGCUAGGUGUAGGGGGUAUCGACCCCUUCUGUGCCGCAGUCAACACAAUAAGCAUUCCGCCUGGGGAGUACGGCCGCAAGGUUGAAACUCAAAGGAAUUGACGGGGGCCCGCACAAGCAGCGGAGCAUGUGGUUUAAUUCGACGCAACGCGAAGAACCUUACCAGGUCUUGACAUCCACUUAAACUUACAGAGAUGUAAGGUGUGCUUGCACAAAGUGAGACAGGUGGUGCAUGGUUGUCGUCAGCUCGUGUCGUGAGAUGUUGGGUUAAGU